UGCAAAUGCUCAGUUAUAUAACUCAUUAUGAAACACCUUCAAAAUGUGUGUUAAAUGUUCCUUCAAAGAUUUUCACUAACCUUAUCAACUAGCAAGAAUAGUAAGUAACUUUGAUACAAAAUAGAUUAUACCUAGUCAAGCUAUAGUUGAUACACGACGUAGAAGCUAAUCACAAACGCAGUCUUCUCUGAUCUCGGACUAUAUAAGAGAAGGAAAACCUACUUACACAUUGCAACGCGAUAGAGAGUAAACAAAAUUGAAUUGAGGCGUUGUUUUAAAGACCAAAGAAACCCAUUUCACUGGCUUUUUCCUUCUCAAAUGUCUCGAAAUACUGGUAGAUGAUAGUAACAGCCAAUAGAAUUCCUGUCCCUGAACCAAUUGCCCCCAUCAGAUCAGCCAACACAGUCAACAGGCCAAUGCAGACACCGCCAAAGGCUGCAGCUGUUGGUAUAUAACGGUUCAACUCCUUGUACAAAUUCGAUUCCCUAUGCCCAGGCAUCACCAUUUGUUGUUCCUUUAACUGCUUAGCCACAUCUCUUGCUGAUGAUCCUGAUACUUCUAUCCAAGUCUUUGAGAAUAAGGCACAUGCUGAUAGCAUGAACACAAUGUAGAAUAUAGCGUGGAAAGGAUGUGCUACCAUAUCCGCCAAGCUUGAUGGUGCAGUAAUAUAAUAGGCAAGACCACCGACAGGUAUAGAUUGACCAGAAUAUUCAGAUUCUUUCCACUUGCCCAAGAGGUUUACAAAAAAAUUGCCACUGUACUUCCUAUCCAGCAACUGGGAAAUGAAGUAAACAUUGGAUACAAGUGCUGAUUGUAAGAUAAUGGGCAUAUUGGAAGUGUAGAACAGCUUAAUUGGAUAUGAACCCUGCUGUCCACGGGCAUUCUUUGACCUUACGGGCAAAACAACACGGAACCCUUGCAGGUAGAUAACAAUAAGGAAGAUCAAG
rnacentral:misc_RNA from 1 species